GGCCAGACUCCUACGGGAGGCAGCAGUGGGGGAUAUUGCACAAUGGGGGGAACCCUGAUGCAGCGACGCCGCGUGGGCGAGGGAGCGCCUCGGCGCGUAAAGCCCUUUCGGCGGGGGAGAACGAUGACGGUACCCGACGAAGAAGCACCGGCUAAAUACGUGCCAGCAGCCGCGGUAAUACGUAGGGAGCAAGCGUUAUCCGGAUUUACUGGGUGUAAAGGGCGUGUAGGCGGGCUUGCAAGUCAGAAGUGAAAUCUGGGGGCUUAACUCCCAAACUGCUUUUGAAACUGUGGGUCUUGAGUGAUGGAGAGGCAGGCGGAAUUCCCAGUGUAGCGGUGAAAUGCGUAGAUAUUGGGAGGAACACCAGUGGCGAAGGCGGCCUGCUGGACAUUAACUGACGCUGAGGCGCGAAAGCGUGGGGAGCAAACAGGAUUAGAUACCCUAGUAU
rnacentral:rRNA from 1 species